rnacentral:lncRNA from 1 species
CGAAAGACAAGACUUUCUUGAGCACAAGGUCACCUUCUCGGAACACAUGAGGCUUGACCUUCUUAUCGAAUGCUUUCUUCAUUCUUUGUUGAUAUAACUAACCAUGGCACAUGGCAGUCAAUCUCUUUUCUUCAAUCAGAUUCAGUUGGUCGUAACGACUAUGAAUCCACUCAGCAUCAGUCAACUUGGGGUUUGAGGGUGCUAUUUUUCUUUGAUUUUUUUUUACAUUCUUU